AUAGACAUAAUAUCACUGACCACUCCAUGUUCAUGGAGGGACCUAAGUGAUGCACAAGGGCUUUGGAGAGUGUAGUAAGUUAACCAGCUGGAGGCAUGCACGUCCCACUUUGCCCACACCUGCUUCAGAUCCAUUCUCUUGGUGCGCAGCCCCUGACUGCAGCACAGCCCUUUCACUGAUCUUUGCCUAGUAAGGGGCAAAACUACAGGUUAUCCCAAGGCCUAGGGACUCCUCGAUAUUUCUUCUGUCUGCUAUUUCCUGGGGUCAGUCUCCAACCUCGCACCCGGGGCCCUGUCCCUGGCUGGUGAGCCCGCUGACACGCCCGGAGGGAGGGGCACACAUAUUUCAUAAUGGGCAUUGAGCCAGGGGAUGAUGUGGGGCUGGCGUGGGACAUAAAGACUGGGGUAAGUCUGAGCUUAUGUCCAGUUACUCAUUUGGUCAAGAUGAGUAACUAGCCAAACGCCGUUUGGAGAAAUGACCAAAAAGCUGCCUCGGAUCUCCUGUUCUCGACCCCAGGCUCCACCUGCCUACUCUAUUCCUUCCUCCUCUGGACCCUGCCCUCCACCUAUCUACUCUAUUCCUCCCGCCUCUCGUUGUCCUUCCUCCUCUCAUCGUCAUCCAAAGCCGCUUCCUCUUGUGUCCAUUUACACCCCCAACACUCCCCAGGAUUGUCCACCUCUCUCAACUCACAGGCCUACCUGUUUCCCUCCUGUUCCUAGUGCUUUCCUUUCUAGCCGCGCUAACCUACAGGUUUCCCCACGCACUCCUUGCUCUAUUCCUUCCAAAAGGUCCAGUCCCCACUGUUUUUGUCUCGCUCCUGUUCCCUGUUUCCCCACUGUCUACUUUCCUCCUAUUCCCACUCUCAGCCCCAAGAAGACUUGAAAGUCUUAUCCUCCCCAACCUUCCAGCCAACUCCAACCAGACCUCCGUGAUUCACAAAUCCUAUCCUGGAGAGAUGACUUCCCUGUGAGUGGGCCGGUCCUGAUAUCAUCCGGAAUUGCCAGAACAGUCGAUCCCCAGGAGCUUGACUUGGUGAAGGUUGGGAACUCAAGACAAUGCCAAUCAACAUUUAGCUCGGAGGAAUUUGGUCUGUGACCACAGAGCAAACAGCAAGACCAGGGACACAAGGUAGAGAAGAGUGAGUGGAAAACAUCUCAUCUGAUCUCUACACGGAAGUUGAUUUCCCGGUUAGCUGUCUCUGCGCCUGCUUCUAAUGGAGAGGUUGGGACAGGAUUCAAGAAAAAUCUGCAACUUCAGACACUGGCUGAGAAACUAGAGGACGGGGCCGUUAUGUUUUUCUACACUCCAGUAUGUUCAACGCAUCAUCUGAGUUUAGAUAAACACUGAUGGCCUGGAAUGGCCUCAGCCAAUGACUGUCGAAGGGGCGGUGCAAUCAGGUCCCUAACCUGCUGGGCCUGCCGCCAGAGGGUCCCGUCCAGGCUGCUGCAGGAGCAGCCCCAGGAACCAGGCCGGACCUCGAGAAGCCGAGGGAAGGGGAGUCGCGGGCUUCAGGCUUCGGAAAGAAGCGAGGCAGGGGAAAUCCCUUCUGGAAGGAGGGGUUGAGGAGGUAGCUCCAUGUGCCCAGUGGCUGCUAUCCUCGGUUUUACCACUCUGGAUUGUGAGGUCCUCGCGAGCUGAGCUCCUAGUUACCCCCGGAUAAUGCUCAGCAGGUGUCUGGCCGAGGGUGAGUCUUCAAGAGGGCGGGACAUUAACGCUGUGAUGUGAAGCUCUGCCGGUGUUUUUCUACAGUUCACACAAUCACCAGAAAGCCCGUGUCUUGGCACCAGAACCUGGAGGAACCUGCAGAAGGUAAGUCCCGUGGUUUGGGAACAACACUGAGGUACAGCACAGACAGGCAGCUGGCUGGAGAGACCUUUCAGGGUAGUGUUACCUUGGGCAACACUCUGAGCCUCAGAAAGCUGGACUCACACUCACGAAGCUCACAGGACCGUCAAGCAUAGGGCCGUCCCAUUAACUGUCAAGGCCAGAAAAAUCCUCCUAAUGGCCUUCCCAGGGCAUUCAUAUAUUCAGUUAUCAAACGUGGAGCUGUUCCCAGCAGAGGUCCUGAAGUCAUUUUAACGGACUUCCAAGCCUGGUUCUACCACUCGUUAACCAUGUGACUUUGAGCCAGUAAUUUUAAAUGUCUCUGAACCUACCUUCACAUAGUGGUGAGGUUAGACAACAUCACGUAAGUAACUCAGGACCUAGAAUAAUAUUGUCUUGCCGAUCUGGAAAUGCGACUGUUUUUCAUUAAUACCAUGUGAUGGUCCCUCAGAUGGGGCCGGGAGUGGAGACCUCAUACCGUGCCGAUGGAGACAGACAAGUAGGUAAGGAGUAAAAUGGGAAUGGCAACAACAGAACACACGCAUGCCCCUGGUCAGACAGUGUGGACUUCUGGGAAGGCUUCCUGGAGGUGGAGGUGGAGAAGCUCAGGGAUCAAAGACCAGGAGGACAUUCUGAGUUCUAUGGAAAGACAGAGGAAUGAGAGAUGCCAGCAUGGCCCAAGAUAUGGCGGUAGUUUGGCCUGGCUGGAGUAUACAGGUGCACGGGGCAGUGCUCAGAAACAAUGGAAGAGAGGUCUUCGGUGGAGAGCACCAUCCUUCCCGGCGGGCUAUCCUCCCUCCCUCCUUGGAGUAGAAUUUGAUGCAGGAAAGAUACGAGGUCGAUAUAGGAGCACGGGGGGUAGGCAGGUGGGGUGGGCAGGAGGAGGGAGGACUCCAUAGCAGAGUGGAGACAGACAAGUGAAAAGAGCAGUAGAGCGUCGGUAGAGGAAGUGAGGAUGCUAUCUGUCCUGGAGAGGCGAGCCCAGCUCGAGGAAGGGAGAGGAGGUGGGGCCUUGCAGCACUAAGAUAAACAGGCAGCGAGGGACCUGAACGCUAGCCAGGAUUGCCAUGCUAACGGCUUAUCCUAAGGAUGCGCUCAGCCGGGUGCCAUGUCCUUCGUUCUCAGCCAUCUCGCUGUAGGUGGAUAUUGGCCCCAAUUUACAGUUGAGCAAAGUGAGGCCUGGAGAAGUUAGACCACCUAGUUAGGCUAGUAAUGGAAGGGCCAGGAAGGGCUGACUAUGAAGCCCAGGUUCCUGCCGUUGUCAGGCUGCCGCCCUCCAAAUGAGACUUGGUAGGGGGGAAGCUGAAAACGAAAAAAACCUGUGCAAGUCCUCAAGCUAGGGAGUGACAGGCACGUGUGGGCUUGGCAGCCCCAGCUCUUGCAGGAGGGAGGAUGUGGCCUCUUACAACCCUCCCCCGCACUCCGUCAUGGCCACAUUGGCCCCGCUUGCUCCUGCCUCAGCGCCUUGGCUCUUGCUUCCUGUCCGGUGCUUCUGUCUGCCCCUGCCUGAGGCUGGCUGCUGCUUGGCAUCGGGAGAGGCCUCCCCUCGCCGUCCCGUUCUAGAGUUGCCAGCCCUGCCUGUACCUCACCGUCGGGUUCGCUUGUCCCCUUGUGUAGCAUGUCCUCUGUCCCCCCAGCCAGACCACCAGCUCCAGGAGAGCAGGUACCGUGCCUGCCACACUCUGCUCUACUUGCGGGGUCCAGGAGAGUGCCUGGCACAGAGAUUGUGCUCAACAGAUAUGUGUUGCGAGAUGAGGGUUGCAGGCCCUUGGCAGGCCCCCGAGGCCAGCUGCUGAGGCCGGGCCGAAGGACCCAGGAAUUCUCGGCCCCAAAGCCUGCUUCCCUCAAGACUCAUGCCUCUUCUCCUAGCCAGGUUCCUAAAUCUUAUCCACCAGGCCGCUCAGGGGCCACGGAAGAGAUACCCAGACACGCAAACAGAAAGCCCAGAAAUUGGACGGGACUCUGAGGCCUAGGAGCGUGUGCUGAGCCCCUGGGGUGCGCUGGCCCAGGCCCCACGGACUCUGAACCCAGGUUGCCCUCCCUCCCCGGGGGUUGCCUUCUGAUGCCCACCAUCUCCUCUCUGGGUCAGCCCGGAAUGUGACGAGCGCAGGCUGAACCGUGUCAGGGUGCACAGCGACAUUGCGCCCCACAAGGCUAAAGCGUGGAGCUGGCGAGAAGAUGAUCGCCUCGCGUCGUAUUCAGCGCCCACCUCGGUCUCAUCCCUGAAACCCAGCGUGUGGGCUGUGUGGAUAAAUAAAGAUGACUUUCCAGCGUCAGUCUGA